GAGCUUGCUCCUUUGACGUUAGCGGCGGACGGGUGAGUAACACGUGGAUAACCUACCUAUAAGACUGGGAUAACUUCGGGAAACCGGAGCUAAUACCGGAUAACAUAUUGAACCGCAUGGUUCAAUAGUGAAAGGCGGCUUUGCUGUCACUUAUAGAUGGAUCCGCGCCGUAUUAGCUAGUUGGUAAGGUAACGGCUUACCAAGGCAACGAUACGUAGCCGACCUGAGAGGGUGAUCGGCCACACUGGAACUGAGACACGGUCCAGACUCCUACGGGAGGCAGCAGUAGGGAAUCUUCCGCAAUGGGCGAAAGCCUGACGGAGCAACGCCGCGUGAGUGAUGAAGGUCUUCGGAUCGUAAAACUCUGUUAUCAGGGAAGAACAAAUGUGUAAGUAACUGUGCACAUCUUGACGGUACCUGAUCAGAAAGCCACGGCUAACUACGUGCCAG
rnacentral:rRNA from 1 species